rnacentral:rRNA from 1 species
CCUACGGGUGGCAGCAGUGAGGAAUAUUGGUCAAUGGUCGGGAGACUGAACCAGCCAAGCCGCGUGAGGGAGGAAGGUACAGAGUAUCGUAAACCUCUUUUGUCAGGGAACAAAGGCGGGGACGUGUCCCCGGCUGAGUGUACCUGUAGAAAAAGCAUCGGCUAACUCCGUGCCAGCAGCCGCGGUAAUACGGAGGAUGCGAGCGUUAUCCGGAUUUAUUGGGUUUAAAGGGUGCGCAGGCGGUCUGUUAAGUCAGCGGUCAAAGCCCGGGGCUCAACCCCGGCCCGCCGUUGAAACUGGCAGUCUCGAGUUGGAGAGAAGUAUGCGGAAUGCGCGGUGUAGCGGUGAAAUGCAUAGAUAUCGCGCAGAACUCCGAUUGCGAAGGCAGCAUGCCGGCUCCAAACUGACGCUGAGGCACGAAAGCGUGGGUAUCGAACAGGAUUAGAUACCCCGGUAGUC